CCUUGCACACAUCGCCCGUCGCUUCAUCGAAGUUGGUUCUUGGCGAGGUGAUGCCUAAUUGGUACUAUCGAACCUGGGGUCAGCAACGAGGGAG
rnacentral:rRNA from 1 species